rnacentral:rRNA from 1 species
GAUGAACGCUGGCGGUAUGCUUAACACAUGCAAGUCGAACGGACUCUUCGGAGUUAGUGGCGGACGGGUGAGUAACGCGUGAGAAUCUGGCUCUGGGUUCGGGACAACCACUGGAAACGGUGGCUAAUACCGGAUGUGCCGAGAGGUAAAAGAGAAAUUGCCUGAAGAUGAGCUCGCGUCUGAUUAGCUAGUUGGUGAGGUAAAGGCUCACCAAGGCAGCGAUCAGUAGCUGGUCUGAGAGGAUGACCAGCCACACUGGGACUGAGACACGGCCCAGACUCCUACGGGAGGCAGCAGGGGGGAAUUUUCCGCAAUGGGCGAAAGCCUGACGGAGCAAUACCGCGUGAGGGAAGAAGGCUCUUGGGUUGUAAACCUCUUUUCUUAGGGAAGAACAAAAUGACGGUACCUAAGGAAUCAGCAUCGGCUAACUCCGUG